rnacentral:rRNA from 1 species
AACGAACGCUGGCGGCAGGCUUAACACAUGCACGUCGAACGGGAUCUUCGGAUCUAGUGGCGCACGGGUGAGUAACGCGUAGGAAUUUACCCAUUAAUCUGGAACAACAGCGGGAAACUGCUGCUAAUGCCCGAUACGCUUUUCGUAGGAAAGAUUUAUCGUGAACGGAUGCACCUGCGUUGGAUUGGGUAGUUGGUGAGGUAAGGGCUCACCACGCCGAUGAUCCAUAGCCGGUCUGAGAGGAUGAUCGGCCACACUGGGACUGAGACACGGCCCAGACUCCUACGGGAGGCGGCAGUGGGGAAUAUUGGGCAAUGGGCGCAAGCCUGACCCAGCCAUGCCGCGUGAGUGAUGAAGGCCUUAGGGUUGUAAAGCUCUUUUAGUGGUGAAGAUGAUGACUGUAGCCACAGAAAAAGCCCCGGCUAACUUCGUGCCAGCCGCCGCAGUAA